AGGGCCAUCGCUCAACGGAUAAAAGCUACCCCGGGGAUAACAGGCUUAUCUCCCCCAAGAGUUCACAUCGACGGGGAGGUUUGGCACCUCGAUGUCGGCUCAUCGCAUCCUGGGGCUGUAGUCGGUCCCAAGGGUUGGGCUGUUCGCCCAUUAAAGCGGUACGCGAGCUGGGUUCAGAACGUCGUGAGACAGUUCGGUCCCUAUCCGUCGUGGGCGUAGGAAAUUUGAGAGGAGCUGUCCUUAGUACGAGAGGACCGGGAUGGACAUACCUCUGGUGUACCAGUUGUCGUGCCAACGGCAUAGCUGGGUAGCUAUGUGUGGACGGGAUAAGUGCUGAAAGCAUCUAAGCAUGAAGCCCCCCUCAAGAUGAGAUUUCCCAACUUCGGUUAUAAGAUCCCUCAAAGAUGAUGAGGUUAAUAGGUUCGAGGUGGAAGCAUGGUGACAUGUGGAGCUGACGAAUACUAAUCGAUCGAAGACUUAAUCAAAA
rnacentral:rRNA from 1 species